GCCCAGCAUCACUCUCAGUAAAUGUUGGAGGUGUGAUUCAAAGCCACUCUAGAUUCAGAGGUCAUGCUUUUUUUUUUUUUUCUUUUUUUUGAGACGCAGUCUCGCUCUGUUGCCCAGGCUGGAGUGCAGUGGCGCAAUCUCGGCUCACUGCCAGCUCCGCCUCCCAGGUUCACGCCGUUCUCCUGCCUCAGCCUCCCGAGUAGCUGAGACCACAGGCGCCCACCACCACGCCCGGCUAAUUUUUUGUAUUUUUAGUAGAGACGGGGUUUCACCGUGUUAUCCAGGAUGGUCUCGAUCUCCUGACCUUACGAUCCACCCGCCUCGGCCUCCCAAAGUGCUGGGAUUACAGGCGUGAGCCACCGCGCCCGGCAGGUCAUGCUUUUGACCACUGCUCUACGGCCUCUCCAGAGGUUACCAGGUGCAAACCCCAGAGUUGGAAGCACAAUUUGAGAAUGCAGUGCUCUCUUCCGGAUUCCAGUGGCCAUGCUCCUGACUCCUCGAUUUUUAUCUCUUGCACCUUUUUUCACCUUCCUGCCCUUGACAACUGUUCAGUUCUUCUUUUCAAGCUUGCUGAACUGCAUUCUACUUAAUUUGGACCUAAUUCAGCUUUGCUCAUUUUCGUUUGAGUUUUCAACAAGAUAUUGACUAGGUCUAUUAGCCUGGUGUUUUCUCGAAGCAAUGUAUGUGCAUUUUAAAGUUUUUAGUAUCCAGACCAUUACUGAAGUGCUACAAAAUUAAGACACCAUUAGCAACCGCCCACUAACCCCACAAUAGCUCUUGAAGAACUACCAUUUGGUGUGUUUUUUGCCCUUGCUCUUUAUAGUCUUGUUUUGAAAAUUAUGGUACAAUACACAUAACACAAAAUUUACCAUUAGUGACACUUAGUAAGUACAUUGACAGUGUUGUGCAACCAUCACCACUAUCUAGUUUGGGGUUUUCAUCACCUCUAAAGGAAACCCUGUACCCAUUAGUCAGUCUCUCCAUUCUCUCCUCCCCGCUGCCCUUGGCAACCACCAUCUGCAUUCUGUCUCUGUGGAUUUGCCUAUUUUGAAUAUUGCAUAUACACGGAAUCAUGUAAUAUGUGGCCUAACAUGUCUAGCUUCUUUCACUUAGCAUGUUUUCAAGAUUUAUCCCUGUUGUAGCACGUAUCAGUACUUCAUUCCUUUUAUGGCUGAAUAAUAUCCCAUUAUAUGGAUAGACCACAUUUGUUUAUCCUUUCAUCAGUAAAUGAACAUUUGGGCUGUUUCUACCUUUCGUUUAUUGUGUAUAGUGCUGCUCUGAAUAUUUAUGUACAAGUUUUUCUUUGAACAUCUGUUUUCAAUUCUUUUGGGUAUAUUCCCAGAAGUGGAAAUGUUCUAAGUGAGUAACUAUGUUUGCAUUAUUGAGGAACAGCCAAACUGGCUUCCACAGUGGCUGCUCCACUUUUUAUUCCCACCAACAAAGUGAAAAGGUUCCAGUUUCUCCACAUCCUCACCAACACUUGUUAUUUUCCUUCUCAAAAAAAGUAUAACCAUCCUAAUGGGUGUACCAUGGAGUCUUUUUAAAGCAUAGAUAUCAUUCUUGAAGUGCUUCUUCAAGUUCACGUACGCAUGCAGCAUCCAGAGAUUUUGUAAAAGUAUAGAUUCUGCUGCAGCCAGUCUGCAGUGGGAUCUGAGAUCUUCCCGGGGGUGAUGGUUCUGCUGGUCCACUAGAUUUGUGGAGCAGCAGAGAUCACAUAGAAAGAUGAUAGCAGCCUUUGCUUGAAACCCUCUGGUCACUUCCCACUGCAGUUAGAAUAUACUUCAAACCCCUUUCCAUGGUUAGCAGGUCCCUGUCAAUCCUUCCAGCCUCCUCUGCCUCCAUUCUCCCACUUCUGACCACACUCCCUUCAUUCUGGGCUUCUCUUCUGCUCCUUGAACAUGCCAUGUUUUUCCCGCCACUGGGACGUUACAUUGUUGUCCCUCUGCCUGGGACUCUCUGCCCCCAAUCUUCACUGAGCUGCCUCUUUAUCCCUCAAGCUUCAGCUCCAAUGUCUUCCCAACCAAAAGGCUUCCCAGAGCCCUCUACCUAAACCACCAAGGUUUCCUGCCUACCAGUCUCUCUAUCUCACUCUCUGGUUUUUGUUUAUUUGCUUUUACAGCACUUACCAAUAUCACAAUUUGAAAUUUUAUUUUUAAAAGCUUGUCCAUAGUUUUAUUGUCUAUCUCUCCCCUCUGGCCCAUAAAACACUACGACGCCAAGGUCUUGUUUUUCUCAUUCAUUGCUCUAUCCCUAAUGCGAAAACAGUGCUAGGUUCUGUUCAUCUAGGUGCACAAUAAAUGCUUAUUCAAUGAAUGAAUGAGUUGAUUACAGUUUCAGGACUUCCUCUUGCAUGUCCCCAUGGUUUUCAGAUAUGGCCAUGUGUAUCUAAAAUGUCACCCAGAGAAUACUAUAUUGUCAGAAUUAUAGACAUGGAACACCUUCCCAAAGACUUCCAGACCAUUGAAACAGCCAUCAGACAAACUGCCACAGUUUAACUCAGCCUACCAAUUGGCUUCUUCAUUGUCUGCUUCCACAUCUACUUUUCCCACCAGGGUUUUUGUAUCUGUUUAUAAUUACUCUGAGAAAGGAAAAUAUGAUGUCCCUUCUCCCCGUGCUGGUUCUAUUUUCCUUUGUAAGCACACAGAACUGUGUGAACAUCUCAGAUGAGCAUCAUAGAGUUUUUCUCAUAAGCCCAUCUAAUAAGCAGCAGAUUUCCCUGACUUCUUGUGUCUUCAUUAUAUGAGGAGGUAUUUUCCAUUUCCCUUGGUGGAGUCUGUAUCUCAUUUUCACUUUUUACCUUUGGGCUUGAAAACUCUAAAUUUCUUUGAGGCUUGUUUGGGACCCUGCCCUGCCUCUUGCUCAUCUGUCUUAUUUGGGUUUCAACAAACCAGAGCAUUUUGAGCUUUAUUCUAUCAGAUAGAUUUCCUUUUGUCUUUUCCACUUUUUGUUGACGUUGGGUGUUUAUUUCUUUAUCAUUAAUACAGUUUCCUACAUAAUCAUCCAUAGAUCCAAAUAGGUCCCUUCAGCCUUUAUACUUCUAUUCCAGAGAAUUUUAAGAUGAGUCCCCUACAACUGUGAAAGCAGUCCUUUCCCCAUUUAGUUUCAGAUUUAAAGUGAAUCAUCUCUUUCCAUUCCCUGUGGUCUAAAUCUGAUCAGUUUAGCUUCACUUGCCUUCCUUACACCCUCAAAUCUGUCCUGAUGGAAGAAUUAGCUCAAAAGGGCACGUACUUCAUCAGAUGCUGAAAACACACCACACUGGUCUUAUUUUCCUGGGUAAGAAAUCAGUCUUUGCCAAAAUGUCUUUGCUUUUUAUCCCUUUCUGCCUUAACCCAGAAGUUCAAUCCUCUCUGCUUUCACUUGUUUCUUGAGUUGGUGAUUAUGGGCAGCCAUACAUUGGCCUUGGUGAUAAAUCAUUCCAGCUCCUCUUUCUUGUUGCUCGAUAUCCAGGAAUGUACUGUACCAGAUGAAUGUCCAGCUGCUUAGAUGUCACUCUUAUUUAUUGCACUUUCGUGCUGGCUUCUAUGCAUCCUUCAGUAGUCUAUGAGCUCCUUCUGGCAGACACUGUAUUUUAUUGAUCUUUAUUUCUCCAGCAGCUAGCAUAGUGCUCACCUCACAAUAGAGUCUUAGUAAAUAUUUAGAGACUGCUGAAUGAAUAUCCCAUGAUCCUUUACCUUACAAGCCGAGAGACACAAUACCCAGGUACACAAGACUCUUAAUGAACAUGGAAAGAGAACAUACAGGUAAGUGUGCAGUGUGGUUCAGUAAGUGUUCAAAGACAGGAAAUAAAUAAGAGCUCAUAGAGUUUUAGAAGGCUUUGUAGAGAAUGUAAGACCUAAAUUUGACCAUUAGAAGAAAGAGAGAGAGAAGCAUUGAGGAAGUGACGAGGGCGCUUAAAUUUUCCACUCUGUCCCUCUCAAGUUUUCUCAUGGGAAUGCCUUUGUUUUUCUUUUCCUCUUAUUGUAGCAUCUCCAUCACUGGGUCGCCUGCAGUCUUCUCUUCCACCUUUACCAACCUGGUCUAAAAAUCCUCUUAUAGUGCUUCUCUGUGCAACCCUAUCUUAUUUUUUAGCCCAGCAUGGAGUAUCAAGGGCUCUGAUGGACAAUACAAGUUUUGUCUCCUCUUCCGAAACUCCCUUGGGCCACUCUCACAGCCUAGUGUACUAACUGAGGCUGCCCCUCAGGAAAAACCAGGCUGGGGGGUAAUUAGGUCAUAGGAAACACUGAAACCAGAAGAUUCAGCUGGAGACUAGCCUAAAAUUCAUAAAUACAGAUUGGCCUGGCUUGAACUCACAAUAGGCUAAUUUUAGAUCUGUGGAUUUGGUCCAGCAGAACAGUGACAAUUAUAUCCUUUCUCUAAACGUUUUGCCUCCACUGGCUUUGGAAGCAUUUCUUUUCUAUCACUGAGUCAUUCAAUAGCAAUAUAAUUGUUAUGUCCAUUUCCCUGGCUCUAACAGGUUUGGGAGCCAGUUACCUUUCCCAGUUCAUUAACCGACUGGCUUUCGCAUUAACAGCCCCUCCAUCGGGGGUUGCCUUGGAGACAAAGCUUCCUGUGGGUAAUCCAAGAUUAUCUAGCUCUUUGUCCUACAUGUGACCCUUAAUUACUUGCUAAAUUAGAAUGGUUUUCUGAAAAUCACAAGCGGAGGUUAAUAUGUUCUUCCAGAGCUGGUCAAGCUAAGAUGACACUGAAUUCACAGGGAAUUCAAGUUACAUGAUCCCUGAAGGCGUCUCUUUGAGUAAGAAGAUGAACUCUCCCCCUGGGAGGCACUGCCCCCCCAUAAAGCCCCUGUCACUCACUGUCCCUCCGCCUGCUUUUCUAGUUGUGGUUUAAUCUUCUCAGGACAAUUCACUAUGUCAAUAUUGAGCAGAUUCAUUCUGGUGCAGGAUCCUGUAUCCAUUUGUCUUUGAUAACUAGUUGCUUUAAAUUUGAGUACAUAUUUAUAUCAUAAUUGCAAGGUUUUACUCUUUAUUUACACAAUUACAAGUCUUCAUGUACCCAUGUGGGACAGGCAAGGGAACUGAAGAAGCUAUUAAAAUACCGAAAGUAAACACUUUGGGUAAAAGAGUUUGAGCACUAGAGUGUCCUUCCUAACAUUUGAUAGGCCUCAAAGGGAGAUUAGUAGAAAGGGAGACUCUUAGAAUGCCCUUAAUGAGCUGCCUCUUCAAAUGCUUUUUGGAAGUAAGUUCUAUGUAAGUAAUGCAGAUAUUGAAUGAGAAUUUCAUUAACAAUCAUAAAUGUAGCUUUACUUAAGAUGUUUAGUUAUCUAGACUAUAAUGAAGCUACUGAGUAGAGUUCUAGAAGUUAAAAAAGAAAAAAACAGCAACAACAAAAAAACCACUGUCUUAAAAUUUAAAAUAUUAUGGAUAGAUCUCAACAUUAAAGUAUCAAACUAAUAAUGGUAUGUAGCCUGGAAUCUCACAGGGAUCCUUCCAAAAAGUGUUUAGGAAACCAAACUGAAUGGGCUCGUGUUAGAAAUAAACAUAAUCGGUGAUUUAACGCCUCAAAUCAUUCACUCAGAUUUCCGAAGGAGUCGUUGGCAGAUUGCUACAAACCUAUUCAAUCCAGAGGCUUGACUGAGUACGUAUAAAGCUUUGAGUGUUUGUGGUUAUAUUCAACUGUGUGCCACCUUUAGAAAUAUCUAAGCAUCUAUGGUGUAUAAGGUGUCAUAUAGCCCCCAUUUUGUUGAACUGUAGUCAUCUAAGUAGAAAUCAGCAGAGAAGUCCUAUGAAAAUCGCUUUAUGACAUUUGGUCACAUCUAUCAUUACAUAUGUGUAGCACCAGAAAAUUGACUCUGCCUGUAACAUACUUAAAUUAGCAUCAGAGUAUAUUUCUUUUAGAGGAAAUUUUGGUAAAUCCUGGAGUGGUUACCAAGGAAAACUGAGAUUGUCUUUGAUAUUGUUUUAAAGUAGUUUCAUUCAGCAUUUUCUGAAGUAUGAUUCUCAAGA